rnacentral:rRNA from 1 species
GACGAACGCUGGCGGCGUGCCUAACACAUGCAAGUUGAGCGACGAACCAGGGCUUGCCCUGGGGCAAAGCAGCGAACGGGUGAGUAACACGUGGGUAACCUACCCCGAUAACCGGGACAACCCGAGGAAACUCGGGCUAAUACCGGAUGUGCUCACUGGACUUCGGUUCAGUGCGUAAAGGAAGCUUCGGCCUCCGUAUCGGGAGGGGCCCGCGGCCCAUUAGUUUGUUGGUGAGGUAACGGCUCACCAAGACCGCGAUGGGUAGCUGGUCUGAGAGGACGAUCAGCCACACUGGGACUGAGACACGGCCCAGACUCCUACGGGAGGCAGCAGUGGGGAAUCUUGCGCAACGCGCGAAAGCGUGACGCAGCAACGCCGCGUGGGGGAAGAAGGCCUUCGGGUUGUAAACCCCUUUCAGGAGGGACGAAGGUUCGGCGGUGAAUAGCCGGCCGUACUGACGGUACCUCCACAAGAAGCCCCGGCUAACUACGUG